rnacentral:rRNA from 1 species
AGCGAACGCUGGCGGCAGGCCUAAUACAUGCAAGUCGAGCGGCCGUAGCAAUACGGCAGCGGCAGACGGGAGAGUAACACGUGGGAACGUACCUUUCGGUUCGGAACAACCCAGGGAAACUUGGGCUAAUACCGGAUACGUCCGUAAGGAGAAAGAUUUAUCGCCGAAAGAUCGGCCCGCGUCUGAUUAGCUUGUUGGUGAGGUAACGGCUCACCAAGGCGACGAUCAGUAGCUGGGCUGAGAGGAUGAUCAGCCUCACUGGGACUGAGACACGGCCCAGACUCCUACGGGAGGCAGCAGUAGGGAAUAUUGGACGAUGGGCGCAAGCCUGAUCCAGCCAUGCCGCGUGAGUGAUGAAGGCCCUAGGGUUGUAAAGCUCUUUCGGCGGGGAAGAUAAUGACGGUACCCGCAGAAGAAGCCCCGGCUAACUUCGUGCCAGCAGCCGCGGUAA